GGAGAGGUGGCCGAGUGGCUGAAGGCGCUCCCCUGCUAAGGGAGUAUGGGGCAACUCAUCGAGGGUUCGAAUCCCUCCCUCUCCGCCA
rnacentral:tRNA from 1 species